UGAACUUUUCUAAACUUUCUGAAAUGUCACAAGCCACAAAAUCUAAAAUAAAUCUGAUAAAAUAUUAUUAGGUGGCUAUUGUUGUCCAUGAUAGUGAAUAGUUCCUUGAUUUGAGAAACACAUUGUUGUUUUGAAAGAUAGUUCCUUGCUUACUCAGAUGCAUUCGAUUUUCAGAAGUUUUCAGAAAGUUCCACAGGAUGUCUGUAGACUUUUGAAUGGAUUACAAUCUCGAGUGAUGUAGCUUAGGCUGAGGAACUGUAGAAGUUCAGGAGGUGAAUAAAGUUAUGUUGUUUUUUUUGUUAUAAUUUGUGAAUGAAAAAUUACUUUUUUUUAGCAGACCUGUUUUUUUUCUUUCCAUAAGUCUACACUCCAAACUUUUUCAUUAACUCACAUCAACUGAUAGGCCACAACACAUUAACGCCAGACACUACAGUUCAUUAACUAUCGAGACACUGAGACUAAGGCUGAUAAGAGAAACAUUAGCAUUAGCCUGUUGGAGCCGUUUGCAGUAAAGCUUGAGUUUGUCAUGAUCGAGGAGAUGGAACGAUGGAAAAACCUCAUGCCAGAGCAUUCGAUGAGGCUGGCUUUGAUGAAAAUGUCAAGCUGUCUAUUCUUAUUGAAUAUCACUCUCUGUUAAAGAUCAUGGCAUUAAAGAGAUCGCUAUGCGUGUAAACAGCAGACAGGUAAGCAAAAUACGACCCAGUGACUAAAAUGUUCUGAUGCAACUUUCCAAAAAUGUCAGAGUCAGAGGAGCGGCUUAUUCAUCAGCUGAAGAUUUGGUGUCAGAAGAGCUGUCCAGUCUGUGAUUCAUUGCUAGUCUUGUAAUAAUGUGAUGUUCUUAUCAUCUGAGGAUCAGAAUCAUAUGAAGACUGGCAUUUGUUAACAACGUUAAUCAGUCUCUCUACAAACACUGACUUCUGACAGAGAUGUAACAUGUUGCUGAACCCUUAAUAAAGGGCUUUGAUUGCAAAACGCUAAAGAAUGUGUGUUAACCUGUUUGUUAGAAAAUUGUGGUAAAACAUUUAGCAACUAAUAAUGUGUGUGUAAUCAUUUGUGCCAUGACACCAUUAUAUGAAGUGCACACAGUAGCCAUUACGCACAAUAUCAAACCACUCUUCUCCUCCACCAUUUACAUAUAUAUCAGCAAGUCAACAAAUGUUAAUCUUCAUAAAGUCCUCAUUCAUAUAGUUUACAUUUCAUUUAAAUACUAAUGCAACCAUGGUGCAGCGUGCUCACUGCCCCAUUCAGCUCCAUAGAGUUAUUAUUGAACCUAGUGGUUGGGAACUACAGCCUAACUAAGACCUAAUAAAUAGAGGCCCACUGGGGCAGGAGUCAUGCUGCCCCAUGCUUGAGGGAGGAAUGUUUUAAAUUAAAUUAUCAGAAUUAAAUCUAAUACAUUUUCACAAACGAAGGCAAAGUAUAAGUGCAGAAAGUGUGUCUAUGAUGUAUAGAACCAUUUCUAUUGUAAGAUAUAUUAGUAGUAAAGAUUGGGAGAGGGAAAGGGGGAUUAUGGAGUGGAUAAUGUCCGUACAUCAGAAAUGCGUGCGCAUCACGGUGACGCAUCACGGUGACGCAUCAUUGUUUCUCACACAGAGGCUCAGAAAAAGAAGAAAAAUAUGUCUCCCUUUUCCAAUGUCCAGAUUUGGGCUAGUUGCAGAUCUUUUGCAUGGUUCCAUCAAGUUUAUUUACAGGUUUUCUUUUCUUAUGUUUCAUUGGCUGAGCCUUAAUAGGGAGUGGCCUUGGCCAACAUGGGAGAAAAAGGGGAGGAGUCAGUUUUUGGAGGGAAAAAGAACAAUAGAAAAUAGAAAACUGCCCAGCUCCUGUUAAGUAGCUAGUUUGCGCUUUUACACAUUAUGAGUACAUUAAAUAACUUAAGGUGAAAAAUACUUUUAUUCAGGGAAACUGAACAGUAGAUGCAACAUAUCUGAGAAGAAGAUUUUUGCAUUCAGGAUGGACUUCUGAUUGCAAGGACUGGCCUGCAGUCAUGGUUUGGCAGGAGAGAGCGCUGCCACUGCCACAUGAUAGAUUUGAGGACUAAACAGAGCCGACUGAAGUUUCAAGGUGAGGAGGCUUUUUAUGAACUGGAGGAUGGGAUCAGCUAACUCCAUUGUGAUCAUGGUUUCCAUUAAAGCUAACACAGCAGCGCAGAAGCCUCAUCCGUCAUUGUGAUUCGUAACAAGGGCCCUAUGCAGGUAGACACACUUUUUCCACAGCACGGGAUAACGUCAAAUAAACCACCGUGUGUUUACUAUGAAACGCUCUCAGCAUCUAGCUCCAGUCCACACUUCAUCAGGUUUCAUGCUGAGAAACUCCAUUAGCAGUCUGAAGAAGCAUAGCUUCCAUCAGAGCCCCAAGACAACGGCUGAAGAAUGCUAGCCUCGAGCGCCUUUGCCAGGUCACUCCUGUUUGUAAACGCAAGAUGUUCCAGCUGCACUGACCGCGGAGGGGGCUGGCUACCAGCGUUUCAUGGCCUUAAGGUUAAUGUACUUCAUUAUGUCCUGCCAGGAUGCGUUCUUUUGCGCUUCUAAAGAGAGUUAAAAAGCUACCGAAAGGCCAGAAAUUGGCAGCUGUUGAUUUCAUUGUGGGAUAGAAACAGACUUCUUUAUAAAUGAGAGAGAGAGAGAGAGAGAGAGAGGGAGAGAGGGAGAUGGGGAGAAUCAGUUGAAUUACAAAAAGCUCCUCUGCCCCCUUUAGGAAACUAAUGAUGAGUAUUUGUUGUGCAACAUUGCUAAAGCUGGAGCCUACUGCUGAUUUGUGGCAAAUAAAAUGUUAAUUAGCCUAUAGACUACUAUAUUAGACUAUACAGUAUUUCUCAGUUGUUGGCCAGGGUAUGAAAUGUUUUAAUCAUCACUUUAGUUUAACAUUUUGUGGACAGUGGAUAGGUUUAACAAACCGGACUUCAUGUGAAAACUAUGAUGAAUUUACUGGUUGCACAAUUGCACUAUUUGUCGAUAUAGUACACAGUUAUAGAAGGGAAUGAUUUAUAAUCGCACUAUCAAGUGUCACCCACAUGAGGAUGGGUUCUCUUUUGAGUCUGGUUCCUCUCCAAGUUUCUUCCUCAUUUCAUCUCAGGGAGUUUUUCCUCACCACCAUCACCUCUGGCUUGCUCAUUAGGGAUCAAUUCACAUAUUUACAAUAUAUUUUGGUUUAAUUUAAUUUGAACAUAUUUAUUUCUGUAAAGCUGCUUUGUGAAAAUGUCUACUGGUAAAAGCGCUAUACAAAUAAAAAUAGAAUUAAACUAAAAACGUCACAUAUCGAUUUAUCAAUAUCGGUAUCGGGGUGUCAAACAGCUGAACAGCAUUUUAGGUAACAGGCCGCAUUGGAUUUAUGCUGCAUUUAACUAAAGGUCAUAACUCGAACCUCCGACUAGGAAAAACCAAAGAAAAUGCCCCCUCAAUUUGCAUUUCCCACUCAGGAACUUGGGAUGGUCUUCUCAACCCUGAGUUCAGCAAGUGACCUCAAAUCAACAUGGCUGCUCACAGAAUGAACAGUAAACACAACAGUGCUUGUUUACUUUUAAAUGAGUUACACUUUAUAUACAAGUAUUAGCUCUAGAUUAAUUGACAUACAGACAUAUUAGAUUGUUAAAUCUAGAACACUGACUAUAUAGUUUGCUGUUUUGAGGAGGAAAACGUACAUCUCUCAUCAGUUAGCUAGCUAACUUUUUGCUAACAAAAGACGAACAUGGAGGCGUCCGCACUUUGUAGCUUGAAUGCACAGAGGUUGAAUAUGAUGUAAAUUCCAAGUUCGGACUUUCAGUUUGGACCCAAAAAUAAAUCAGUUUAGUAGCUAAUGACACAUCAACAACUCCUCUUUUAAUGAUUUCAUUUAUCAGCAUUUAUCUGUUUAAAUCUGUUCUGAAUGCAUGGAUUGAACAUAUAUCACUUAGUGCUUUGCAUAAGUAUUUACCCCCUCAACUUUUUGUAGUGUUACAACCCGGAAAUGAAAUGGACUUAAUUGGGAUUAUAUGACAAGAAUCUACACAAAGUAGCCCAUAAUAUUGAAGUCUUUAUCAAUCUUGCUAAAAUAUAUGAAAAUACAACUACACACUCUCAGAAAAUACCACACAUAGAAAUCAGAACCUUUAAGGGUACGAAUGCUCAUCACGUACUGUAAGUGGUAACCUCAAGGGAACAUCUUUUUCACCUUAAAUUAUAGGAUCUCAAGGAUGUAGUGUACAUUUAAAACCCAUUUAAGCUACAUACACUGAGAGGACCUAAAGGAACAUUGUUGUGCCGAGGAUGUUCUCAGCCCAGUCUCAGGUAAACCUCUGCACCGCACACCUGAUCUCGAAACCUGAUUUCAUAAAAUAAUUCAUUCUCACAGGUCUGAGCAGAGGAAACACAAAAAUAUUGUGAACCAAAUAUACUUUUGGACUUUUCAGUGUCUUAAUACAGACACAUCCAUCUAACUACGAUAUCAUCAGCUACCUUGCAUCUUUCCACCGAGCCAUCUUCAUGUUUACACAGGCGCUCCAUUCAUCCUGACCAAACUACAAAUUGGAUCAGAUAUGUAAGGUGACCGUUUCCUCCCUGUUUACCCACAGCUUACACUCUCUCUCUCUCUCUCUCGCUCCCUCCUCUGGAGAGAUUUACACCCCUUCAGGCCUUUCUCCACCAUAUUACAUUCCAGUCAGCUGUUUUAUUUUCCCGCCACCCCUCCUGACCUGCUUACCCAGCACUAUCGGGCCCUCAGCUGACCCGAAACGGAAACGCUUUUUGGGCCGUCCAGAAUCCAUCACUACACCAGCCCCAAGCCUUUUUAUCAGAGAAGUGGAGAUACAUGCAUUCCAUAAAGGAGACGGGGAGAGAGAGAAUGAGAAAGAUGAGAGGGAGCAAGACUACAGGGAGAUGGAGAAGCGGAGAAUCAAUGGAGGAAGAGGGAGGGAUGCAAUAAGCACGAAAGCGAUAGGGCGAGGGAGGAGAGACAGAGAUGGAGGGAGGUAUGAUGGUGCAGAUAAGGCAGCAGAGAAGAGAGAUGGAGGUAAUAAAUUGGGCCGGGCAAAGGGAGUUGCACAGCAAGUGUGGAAAUGUAGAAACGUCAGGAAAAUAAAGUGCAUUAUGAACAAAAGCUCUGGAUUUUAAAGAAGGUUAAAUCGCGGCAGCUUUUAGGUGAGAAUAGGUAAAUGAUACGGGUAUGCAACGUUAAUUAAAUACAUUUAUUUGCACAGAAUAUGAACUGUGUGCUGGCAGAACCAUUGUUCUCUGUUCUCAGAACUUCCCUUUAUAAAGUACCUUAAAGGGCAAACAGAAUCAGGAGUGGAAAAUUCUUCAGUAAUUGUUCUUCAUUACUAUAUUUAUGUAUUAUUUUGAUGUAUUUAUACUUUACUUGAGUAUUCAUGAAAUCGAAUGCUUGUACUCUUCGUCUUUCAUCCAGCUAAUGACUGCACACUAUACAUCAAUGGAGAAUCGUGACAGUUCGUCAUCUGCUCUGACCUUCACAUGCUACCCAGUGUAUUAGCGCUAUAGCUAUCUGUGUGCAUCUGAAGUCAGUGGAUAAUCCACCGCACUGCAGUGUGGAAGUUGAGGAUGAACGUCCCGGGCCCUACCUCAGUAAAUUGUUUCAGUACGCUGGAGUAAACAAAGACUCGUAUAAAAUGAGGCGUCUCCUUUAACCUCCCUAGAAGGCAUGAACAAUAAGAUUUGAACAUGAAGUACAGUAAGAUUUGCUACUUUGCUAACAUGUGCUGCUUAUAUUUAACUAUGUUAGCCUGUUUCCUUUGCUAAUGCCUGGUUAGACUAGCAACGAUUCCAGUAGCUAAUGUACUUGGCUAGUCCGCAAGUCAAAUUCUAGCUAAUGGUAAAUAUCAGUUAUUUACAGGAUAUUUUAUUUGUGAUUAUUUUAUUAGCAAAGUACGUAGCACUAGUCAUGUAGAAACAAACGUGCAGAGAAUUAAUGAUGUUUUCAGGCAUAAAUGGUGUAGCUGCUUUAAAAUGAAAGUCAGUUUUGAAUAAGUAAUUAAAGAUACUUUUCUAUAAGAAAACAUGACCUUAAGUUAAUUUCAUCAGUUUUAUUUAUUUUUCACAUUUUACUACUUGAGUAGCAACUUUUUGACUUUCACCAGAGUACAUUUUAUGGCUGAAUACUUCCAUUUUUAAUUAAGAUUUUAACACAUUAUCUAAGAACAGAACCCAUUAGAGCACAGAACACCCCCCAACACACACACACGUUGUUCUAGCAAGUAUAAAGAGUUAUAAAGAGCAGUUUGAUGGACCUGCUUUGGUAUUCUGCUCAUUACCAACCUGAACAAUAAAUCUCAGUCAUUGGUCUCUAAAAACUAGAGAACAAUAUAAGCGUAUAAAUCUACACAAAAAUGAAGCAGAGGAGCUCAUUGACGAGCAAGGUUUACUCUGGUCUAUCCACUAUAAUCGGGGAAAAAAAACAUGUAAUAUCCAUGAAAUGGCAUAUUUCCUGAGAACAACCCAUAUGUCUGUACCACGUUUAACACAGUAAAAGACUGCAGGAUGCAGAAACUCUGCCAAGUUCAGGUCUCCUCUGAAAAGCUUCUAAGCACUGCACAUUAGGGUUUGAUGAUAUAAUAAUGAUAUCGUGAGAAGUUGUUACAAUAUGCUUUCCUGAGAUAUCAUGAUAACUCCAUUUUUUAAAAAAUACAAACUGAUUGGAAGCAGCUGAUGUACAAACAGAAAGUACAAACAGUUUUUUUCUUUCCUUUUAAAAACCGCUCUACAUUCACUGAGCUGAAGGAAAAUGAAUUCCAACCAGAGAUAGAUUUGAAUCUCAAUUGGGACUCAUUGGCAGUUCCAGACCUUAUGCAUUUGGUGGUGCAGCAGGAGAACCGACGCUACGAGAUCUGCGAUCAUCUAGGAGCAGGAAGUUCAGUUUCAGCUUGAGCUCUCAGUCCUGAUGGCUGGCUCAUGGAUCUCUGCUUUAUCAGCUUCAAGAACAUUUACUCGCUGAGCAUGAACAUUUACAUUGAUCACAGAAUGACAAACUCUACUCAGGGAAGCGCUACAGGAGUCAAUGCGAUGACACUCUGGGGAGGUCAUCUGCUUGGAGAAGUGUAUCGAGUGACACCAUCAAAAACACUUUCUUCUAAUAGAACGAGCAAAUUUGUGGCUUUUCCCCCCAAUAUCACUCUGAACCACUGACUAACCGAUUAAAGGUGGUUUCCAUUAGGAAAAUGACCAAAUGGAUGAACUGAAACUUCUAUAAAACCUCUCACUUUACUGCAACAUUCUUUAGUUCCCCAUAACUGUUUAUAAAAAUUACUAUAUGUAUGGAAGCUUGCCAGGAAUGCCUCCUGAGUCCUUUUAAGUGCUCGGUUGGCACGUGGAGAAUGCUUAUUGAGUAAGUAGAAGAGCUUCUUUAUAGCUCAUUAUUUCUUUUUCUUAAGCUAUAUAAAACGUUAUGGACCUUCUCUUCACACACAUGAUAGUAAUUAGAUUGCUUGCAGGACAGAAAAUGAAGCUUUGCUUCUUGGUAACAGCAUGUACACAGAUCUACAUUCCCACAUUUCUGUGAGGCGGCCAAUCUCCAUGAUUAAGUAUAAGCCACUGAGUCAGUACAGUCCUUCAGUAUCACACCUGCUUGCCAAUGAGCAGUAUAUGAGUCACUGUAUAGACUGUGUUGGAGGGGGGGGAUCACUCAAAGCCUGUUAAUUUACCUGGCAAAAUGACAAAACCUGUCAAAUCCCUUCUCAUUUCAGUUGAUGCAAACCAGAAUACUACUUGACUGACUAAAGGAAAUGGUCCUUGAAAGAGAUGGAUUUCAUUUUCCUAGAAAUCCGCCAAUGUGCACAUCUUCAAGAGCUGGGAUUUCUGCACUCGCUGGAGUCGCUCUUGGGUGAAGAGGUGCAGAUGAAUAGUUUCACAGUCAGAGCAUUCUUGAAGCGCAAAGCAGCUUCUAUUUCACCAGCCAUAAAGAAGGACGAAAGCACUGAUGAAGAAUGCAUGUGCUGUUGGUCAUUUUUGACUCUGCUUAAGGGACCAAGCGAUGUUUGGACUGAUCUGUGGAGAUAAUGUGCAAAACUAUUUUAUAAACAUUUGUGUCUGUAUAUUAGUGUUUUUCAGGACCAAACUGGGGACCCUGGAGUUUUGAGGUGGCAAAGAUGUUAGGCCAAUCAAGCUAUUUAUUUUGAAAGCAAAUGUGAUAAAGACUAGGGAUGUAACUGAUUAUGAAUGCAUAGGUUCGUAGAGAAGACUAGGAGACGCAGACUAGGAGAAGACGAGGAGAAGACUAGAAAAGUGUAAAAAUCGUGUUUUUACAGUUUCAUGCAGGCGAUAGUGGUCAGAUAUUAAGCUCAUGGGACAAGCAAAGACCAUGUUCAUUAACAUGAAUGUAAUAUAUUUACAGUGUCCAUUCAUUCAUCUUUUAGGGAUGUAAACGAAAAUACCAAUACUUCCUGUUCAGAAUGAACAGAUAAUAGGAGAAUAGGAGACGCUCUAUUCAUUUUUGCUGCAGUAGCCUGACCUAAACACUGCCUUACUAAGCUACAAAAUAAAACCAUAGUUUUGCCGUAUUUCUGUACAAACUAACCUAAAAAGAAAUACAUUUUAAAUAUAUUUAUAAAGCCACUGCUCCAUAUAGACCGCACACCAUGUACAGGGCAGCAUCUCUCUGCUUUAAUUUUAAAAAUAAUGUUUAAUUUUAAAAAUAGUAACUUGUAUGCUCAUUGUGCAUGCAUUUCAUCAUUCUUAAAUGAUGGCGUUAAAAUGCAGCUUAAAGGACUCCAUUUUUACUCGCAGCAGCACUGCGUCCAACUUCAUAGUAGAUUCUGAUAGCGUGUCCAGUGAACUUUUCUGAUUCUUCUGGAAUGUAACAAAGCUCAAAAUCUAAAAUAAAUCUGAUAAAAUAUUAUUAGAUGGCUAUUACUUUCAACUACAAACAACAGUUCCUUGAUGUGCAAACUGUGUUGUUGUUUUGAAAAUUAGUUCCUGAGCUUAUUCAAUCACAUUAAAUUACAAAGUUAAAAAGUUUGCCAGAAAGUUCCAUAGGGCAUCUGGUUGAGACUGAUGAUCAACUUGAGUGAUGUAGCUGAGAUUGAGGAACUGUAAAAGUUCAGGAAGUUCUGCAAAUGGCUUUUUUUUAUAAUUUGUAAAUGGAAAAAAAUGACUCUCUUCCCAGCAACACAAACCUCCGGUCCAGACCACGCCCACUUCCAUUUCAAAUCCAGAGAGAUUUGGAGCGCUACACAGAUACAGAUAAAGGAUGUUCACGUCAACAGGAAAUGAAACAACUUUAAUUUUCACAUUUAUGUGACACAUUUAACAUAACAGUCAUAUUGACUCAACUGCCCAUGAAAUAAAAAAGAAAAGAUUUAGAGCUGUUUGAACUGGCCUAGCUUUCAAUCAUGGUUCUUCAAGGCACACCAUUUACAAUGGCACUAGAGUGCAGUGUCCCUGAAAAUGUGCUGAUUAAGAAAUUGAUUUAAUAUCUUCAGGGCAGGAUUGACAGCUGCUGUAGAAGUGCUGGACCAAUCCAUGCAUAAUGAAAAAACCUUCAGCUAAGGCCGUUAUGUAGGAUAAUCAUCUUAGUCAGAGUGAAAAUGAGAGAGUCAAGAUGAGGAAGCAUUGUUGGAGAUGAUUUAAAAUGAAGGAAAUGAGGUAUAUAAAGGAAGGGAAGUCAUAAACAGGAAGAUAAUUUGUUGGACCUUUCUGCUCCUUAUAGAGGUCAGUCUGUUUAUGAGCCAGUAGCCUCUGGGCUUGUAUGAGCUGCACUUGGGCACAGCAGGAUGCCUUCACGUAGUAGCCAGAAAGAAUUAUAAAGUUCUCCAGUUUCAAAGAAAAGUACUGGUAAAUACCACAGCCAUCUACAUUUACUCGACAAAGUGCUAACUGGACUUGUGGUCAAAGUGCUGAAAGUGUGUGCUGUUGGUUAGUAUAUGCUCAUGGAUGUACAUGGAUGUGUCAGUGUUAAAAAAUGCUGCCUACUUGAGCAAUAAUUUGGAGGCUGGAAGACAUCGAGUCAUGUCUGAGUUAAAUGUUUGCGAACAAUGAACACAGUGUACCUUUGCUGUUCUGAAUUUCCCAUAAUCAUGUACAAAUGUUUAGGCAAAGCCAGUCUUUUUAAAAAUAAAUAAAUAAAUAAAUAAAAAAACAGAAUAUUCAUUCUAUUACCAAUUUACUCUGCACUUUAAAACUGUAUAUAAUUUUUUUAUAUUUCCUAAAAACCAUUAGCACUUACAGUGUUAAUUUUGUUACUGCAGACCUUUGAAUAUCCCAUGGAGUGUCCUUAAAUCCAUUACUAAAAAAUGUAAAGAAUAUGACACAACCACCAAAGGAGGAAGCCAUCCAGCAAAAGUCAGGGACCAGGUAAAGAGGGGAUUAUUCAGAGAAGCAACCAAGAGACAACACAGAUAGAGCUAGAUUUAAAAAUUCCCACUGUUUUCUCUGGUCUACAUUCGUGAGAAAAUAUUCUUAGAAAUGAGAACAUUUACUCCUAUACAUACUGUAAGCCUGUGAAUGGGAACAAUGUAGAAAAAUUCUGUCUAGGAGGUUCUGAGGUGUCUCAAAUGGUUAACGAGAAUCAAACAAGUUAUCGCGUGUUUCCUCCGAGACCCGUAAACCAAAGCACUUCGAACUGCUGCUCAUGCUGCAUCACAGGGCAGCAACACACUCUGAGGAAAGCGCUGUUUGCCUUCUUCUGCAUACAUGAGCUCACAGACAUCCACAAUUCACUAGUGUUGCUGUGAUUGAUAGGGGAGAGAGAUUAUGCCCCUCCCAACCAUACAGCACAACUGAUUUUGCUCUUUAGGAUGCCUGGGAAUUUGAGCUUGUGAUCUCCUGAUGAUAUGUUGAAUGCUUUUCCAUUGGGUUUUUUUUUUUUUUGUGAAGUGAAAACUUCCUGUGACAUCCUCACAUUUCAUAAAAUAACAUUUAUUGCAGUCAACAAACAUGGCUGCCAACAACAAGCCCGCAGAAUUAAGAAUCCAGCAAUUCCCAUUGUUAAAAAAAAAAAAAGGCCGUGUGAUUCAUAAUGAAUAAUUUAUAGACUGUACAUUGGAGACUUUUUUAUUAUAUAAUGCUUGGACCCUAUGAUCAACACCUGCAGCUAUAUUUUUAAUUAAUUUCUGAAGAGCUGAAAUGGAUAUUGUGUUUGGAAUAAGUUGCCCAUGGUAUGCGCAGACAAUAAAUGGACAUUCAUGUCGAUUCAAUGAAACACCUGCCAAGGAAUCCAAUAAAUAAAAAGAAAGUCAAAAACUGAGUGAAAUGGAAAAGAAAUCUUUAAAUAAUAAUGCUUUAAAGUUCGUUCAAGUGAACUUGUAUCGUGUGCCAUAACUAUAAUAAUAAUAAUAGUAGCAAUAAUAAUGACAAAUAACUCCAAGGUUCACAUUCUGAAAGCCAGAUCUUAUGAUUCAUGCAGUUUGGCAGCUUGUGUGUUCGGAAUGGCUGUGAAAUCAAUGCUAAACUUCGCUAUCUGGUAGUUUUCAUCUUUUGUUAUGAUCCAUCACAUUCUAGGCAGCUGAAGUGUUUGUGUGGAGCUCAGAAGGACUUUAUUCUCAGGUGGAAAAUGUCUUAACAAGCCACAAACCUCAACUCCGGUAUUAAGUUUACUGAUAGUGUUCUGCUCCUGAUAGCAACAAUCGCCUCACUGACGGCGUAGCGUGACUACAAGAUGAAUUUCACAGAUGUAAGGUAUCAAAAUCCUCAACCAUCCCUGAUAAAACACUUUGGAACCAGAUAUUCUAAACUAUUCAUGGCCAAGAGAUGGAGGGAAAAAAAAAGGAUGUGAUUUUUUUUUUCUUAAAAUGAUCAUAGCUUUUUCAGAGAUUCUUUUUGUUGUUGUUGUAGCCAAGAAAAAUGUGAAACCUGACCCCAUUUCCUCCCCUUUUUCCCCCAGCUGUGUGAGGGUUUUUUUUUUUUUUUUUUUUUUUUUUUUGAGAUUGCAACAUCUGGGAAGGGUUUCUCACAGUAAUCUCUCCAAGCUCAGGGGCCUGCUCUGCAUCAUAAUAGCACUCAGCCCCUUUCUUUCCUCUCGCUAAGCCCACCAUUUAAGCACACACGCACACUCACACUACGCGCGCACAAA